CGAUAACGUAUUAUCUCCCUCUCGCGCUGUUGCGAGGGAGACAGCCUAAUUUCGUCACUCUCACGUGAUAUGCUCUCAACCAAUAAAACACUAGAAAAAUGCGACUUUGACUAAUGAUAUAUAAUAACACUUUAUAAUACAUUGCAUAACACUUUUUAAAAUGUGGCUUUCUUUUCCUUUACUGUAUAUAGCAAUCAUUACUGAAGAUAUCCCAAACCAUUGUCCACCGACUUGCAUGCCAACCAACAUGUGUCGACCCCAGUGCCCCAUACAAUGCUGUACCCCUCCCACCACAAAUACCUGUCAACAACAAGCCUGUCCCAGCGCAUGCGCACCAGGUUGUACAACGACAUGCUGCUCGCUUGGAUCGUCGGCUCACCUUGUUAAAAAAUCCACAAAAUUAACAAAAAGUUAAACGCUGAUGGGGACAAGUUUGAAAACAAAUUGCUCGCUUACAUUAAGUGACGGUAAACAAUAAACUACUGAGGAAAGAACACUUUUAAAGUAAAAUAUUGUAACAUAUACUUACAAGCCUAAUGGUAUAAAGGUAAAAGAGUUGUAAACUGUAUACUUAAAAGUAAUGAUGAACCACAAAAUUACUGCUGUUAAAGUUUUUUAUUUCUUACCAUUAAAAA